rnacentral:rRNA from 1 species
UACGUAGGGGGCGAGCGUUGUCCGGAUUUAUUGGGCGUAAAGAGCUCGUAGGCGGUUUGGUAAGUCGGAUGUGAAAUCUCCAGGCUCAACCUGGAGGGGUCAUUCGAUACUGCCAUGACUAGAGUUCGGUAGGGGUGUGUGGAAUUCCUGGUGGAGCGGUGAAAUGCGCAGAUAUCAGGAGGAACACCCGUAGCGAAGGCGGCACACUGGGCCGAUACUGACGCUGAGAAGCGAAAGCAUGGGGAGCGAACAGG